rnacentral:misc_RNA from 1 species
GAAGAAGAAGAAGAAGAAGAAAAACAUCUUGAGUUUCGUAAUUGCAUCAAUGUGGAUAAGGAGAUAUAUCAGAAAAUAAUGGAGGAUGUAUUGGAAACGCAUCUGAUGAAACACAGGCUUGUCAAUUUAUGUGUAGCUGGGGUUGAACUGCCUCAAACGAUGAGAUAUAAGAACAAGAGUGGAUCUUCUCUUUCAUUCAGACUGGAUAGGCCUAAUAUGAUCGGUCUUUCUUUUUGUGCUGUUUUUAAUCCCAAAAAUUAUUCUUGUGAUCCUAUGAUUCAAAUUAGUUGUAGAGCCCAUUUCGUAGACAAGUCUGGACAUAGCAGCAAAAAUUUCUAUUCCGAUUUGAUGAAUUUGACAGUUGAUCCCUUAUAUUCAGAACAUGUGUUCCUUUGGAGCAACUUGUUCGACAUGGAAGUGAAUUUC